UUGGUGUAUUCUCUGAGUGGAGCUUUGAUAUCUGCAGUUAUCCUGAUAGUUGUCCUGGCCUUCUUAUUGUACAAGAUGAACAAAAGAAUCUGCUUCUUAUCUCCAGAGAUACAAGCAAGAUUUUCAGCUCCCUCCACAACAAACAUGGAGGUUAACAGAGGAGCAGAUGACGUCUGUUAUGCUGCUCUGAACGUUAACAUGCCCAACACAUCAAGAAGACAGAGAAACACAGCCAGAGAUGAAUGUGUGUAUUCCAGUGUGAGGCAGUAGAAGUCACCAUGGUUCAUCUUUUACUACGUCACUUUAAACUGAUGUUGGACCAGAU